rnacentral:rRNA from 1 species
CGUUUGGCGAGGAUACCUUUUCUCUGUAAGACUUUUUCGAAGAGUCGAGUUGUUUGGGAAUGCAGCUCAAAGUGGGUGGUAAAUUCCAUCUAAAGCUAAAUAUUGGCGAGAGACCGAUAGCGAACAAGUACAGUGAUGGAAAGAUGAAAAGAACUUUGAAAAGAGAGUGAAAAAGUACGUGAAAUUGUUGAAAGGGAAGGGCAUUUGAUCAGACAUGGUGUUUUUUGCAUGCACUCGCCUCUCGUGGGCUUGGGCCUCUCAAAAAUUUCACUGGGCCAACAUCAAUUCUGGCAGCAGGAUAAAUCAUUAAGAAUGUAGCUACUUCGGUAGUGUUAUAGCUUUUUGGAAUACUGUUAGCCGGGAUUGAGGACUGCGCUUCGGCAAGGAUGUUGGCAUAAUGGUUAAAUGCCGCCCGUCUU